rnacentral:rRNA from 1 species
UACGGGGGGGGCAAGCGUUGUUCGGAAUUACUGGGCGUAAAGGGCUCGUAGGUGGCCAACUAAGUCGGACGUGAAAUCCCUCAGCUUAACUGGGGAACUGCGUCCGAUACUGGAUGGCUUGAGUUUGGGAGAGGGAUGUGGAAUUCCAGGUGUAGCGGUGAAAUGCGUAGAUAUCUGGAGGAACACCGGUGGCGAAGGCGGCAUCCUGGACCGGUAUUGACGCUGAUGCGCGAAAGCCAGGGGAGCAAACGGG